GCCUCGGUGAUGAAAUUGGUAGACUUGCUAGACUCAAAAUCUUGUGUGCUCACGCACGUGCCGGUUCGAGUCCGGCCCGAGGCACCA
rnacentral:tRNA from 3 species